rnacentral:rRNA from 1 species
GAUGAACGCUGGCGGCGUGCCUAAUACAUGCAAGUCGAGCGAACAGACGAGGAGCUUGCUCCUCUGACGUUAGCGGCGGACGGGUGAGUAACACGUGGAUAACCUACCUAUAAGACUGGGAUAACUUCGGGAAACCGGAGCUAAUACCGGAUAAUAUAUUGAACCGCAUGGUUCAAUAGUGAAAGACGGUUUUGUUGUCACUUAUAGAUGGAUCCGCGCCGCAUUAGCUAGUUGGUAAGGUAACGGCUUACCAAGGCAACGAUGCGUAGCCGACCUGAGAGGGUGAUCGGCCACACUGGAACUGAGACACGGUCCAGGCUCCUACGGGAGGCAGCAGUAGGGAAUCUUCCGCAAUGGGCGAAAGCCUGACGGAGCAACGCCGCGUGAGUGAUGAAGGUCUUCGGAUCGUAAAACUCUGUUAUUAGGGAAGAACAAAUGUGUAAGUAACUAUGCACGUCUUGACGGUACCUAAUCAGAAAGCCACGGCUAACUACGUG